rnacentral:rRNA from 1 species
UACGUAGGGUGCAAGCGUUAUCCGGAAUUAUUGGGCGUAAAGAGCUCGUAGGCGGCUUGUCGCGUCUGCUGUGAAAACUGGGGGCUCAACCCCCAGCCUGCAGUGGGUACGGGCAGACUAGAGUGCGGUAGGGGAGAUUGGAAUUCCUGGUGUAGCGGUGGAAUGCGCAGAUAUCAGGAGGAACACCGAUGGCGAAGGCAGAUCUCUGGGCCGUAACUGACGCUGAGGAGCGAAAGCAUGGGGAGCGAACAGG